UACAGAGGGUGCGAGCGUUGUCCGGAAUCACUGGGCGUAAAGGGCGCGUAGGCGGUUCGCUAAGCGUGCGGUGAAAGCUCGGGGCUCAACCCCGAGUCGGCCGUGCGAACUGGUGGACUGGAGCAUGUCAGAGGCAGGCGGAAUUCCGGGUGUAGCGGUGGAAUGCGUGGAGAUCCGGAAGAACACCGGUGGCGAAGGCGGCCUGCUGGGACAUUGCUGACGCUGAGGCGCGACAGCGUGGGGAGCAAACAGG
rnacentral:rRNA from 1 species